CUAAGCGAUCCUACAUUCCGUCGUCGGUGUCGGCGGCGGCGGCGUCCACAAAUAUUCACUCUGUGGUUAAAGUUUUUGAAAUUUGAAUAACUUUCUCAAACGAUCCUGGAUUUCUACCAAAUUUGGACAGCAGCUUGUUUAUGAUCAAAAGAUAGUAUCCAGAAGUAAAUUUUGUAAAAAUAAAAUUCCAUUUUUUCUGUAUUUUACUUAUAAAUGGACUUAGUUUUUCUGCCGGGAAAUAUCAUUCACUCUGUGGUUAAAGUUUUUAAAAUUUUAAUAACUUUCUUAAACUAUCCUGGGUUUGUACCAAACUUGGACAGAAGAUUGUUUAUGAUCAUAAGAUAGUAUACAGAAGUAAAUUUUGUAAAAAAAAAAUCCAUUUUUCUGUAUUUUACUUUUAAAUGGACUUAGAUUUUCUGCCAGGAAACAAU
rnacentral:lncRNA from 1 species